UUGCUUCAGCAGCACAUAUACUAAAAUUGGAAGCAUACAGAGAAGAUUAGCACAGCCCCUGCGCAAGGAUGACACACAAAUUCAUGAUUCUUCUUUGAAAGUCAUUUUU